rnacentral:rRNA from 1 species
AGUGAACGCUGGCGGUAGGCCUAACACAUGCAAGUCGAGCGGCAGCACAGUAAGAGCUUGCUCUUACGGGUGGCGAGUGGCGGACGGGUGAGGAAUACAUCGGAAUCUACUUUUUCGUGGGGGAUAACGUAGGGAAACUUACGCUAAUACCGCAUACGACCUACGGGUGAAAGCAGGGGAUCUUCGGACCUUGCGCGAUUGAAUGAGCCGAUGUCGGAUUAGCUAGUUGGCGGAGUAAAGGCCCACCAAGGCGACGAUCCGUAGCUGGUCUGAGAGGAUGAUCAGCCACACUGGAACUGAGACACGGUCCAGACUCCUACGGGAGGCAGCAGUGGGGAAUAUUGGACAAUGGGCGCAAGCCUGAUCCAGCCAUACCGCGUGGGUGAAGAAGGCCUUCGGGUUGUAAAGCCCUUUUGUUGGGAAAGAAAAGCAGCAGGUUAAUACCCCGCUGUUCUGACGGUACCCAAAGAAUAAGCACCGGCUAACUUCGUG